rnacentral:rRNA from 1 species
AUUGAACGCUGGCGGCAGGCUUAACACAUGAAAGUCGAGCGAGCGGCGGCCGGGUGAGUCAUGUCUGGGAAACUGCCUGAUGGAGGGGGAUAACUACUGGAAACGGUAGCUAAUACCGCAUACCAUCAGAUGUGCCCAGCGUGGAUUAGCUAGUAGGUGGGGUAAUGGCUCACCUAGGCGACGAUCUCUAGCUGGUCUGAGAGGAUGAUCAGCCACACUGGGACUGAGACACGGCCCAGACGCCUACGGGAGGCAGCAGUGGGGAAUAUUGCACAAUGGGAGCAAGCCUGAUGCAGCCAUGCCGCGUGUAUGAAGAAGGCCUUAGGGUUGUAAAGUACUUUCAGCGGGGAGGCGUUACCCGCAGAAGAAGCACCGGCUAACUCCGUGCCAGCAGCCCCGGUAAUAC